UGGGAGGCUGAUACACAAAUUGGGCAGAAGUAUUGUUCUACUUGUCACCACACCUCCCCAGAACAAACUGCCAUUUGAUGACCGGGACAAAUUGAGAGAAAUCAUAACGGACAGAUAUGGGGCAGUUAAAA